rnacentral:rRNA from 1 species
AAAACGACGGCCAGUUGGUGCAUGGCCGUUCUUAGUUCGUGGAGUGAUUUGUCUGGUUAAUUCCGAUAACGAACGAGACUCAAAUUUCUUAAAUAGAUGCCGGCAGGGUUAUGAUGUUGAAACUUUAUAUGCACAAAAUCCUCUAUGCAUUUGAAUGUUUUCGGAUAUUUUUAUGUAUAUGGUUUUGUUGUACUGUAAAUGGAGUCGUACCUGGUGGUUUGUCCGAACAAGACACUUGCUUCUUAAAUGGACAAAUUGCGUCUAGCAAUAAUGAGAUUGAGCAAUAACAGGUCUGUGAUGCCCUU